rnacentral:lncRNA from 1 species
ACCGGUGACGUUUUUCUCUUGAUCCCUACAGCCAAAUUUAUAUGCUUGAUACUUCCAAGAAUACAUCGAAUCAGAUGUUCUGCAUCCAGAAAAUCAUUUCAUUGGUUAAAGGUUUUGCGAUAUAGCUGUAAUAUGUUUCUUCACCUAAAAGUUCAAUAGUGGUUCAAUUUAAAUUCACAGUCUAUAUCCAUUUCCUUGGUUUUUUUUAUUAAUCAAAUUAACUCCUGUGAUCUUGCUUAAAUUGCAACACCUAUGCUUUUGUGGACUGCCUGAUGUUUGGAUAAAAUUCAUUAUCUAUUCAGUUGGGAUAGUAUAUAUUGUCAUUCUGGAAUAAAGUGGAUAUAGUAUUGAAUGCUGCACUCAUGUUGGACUUGGGCAAUUCCAUAAUGCAAAAUUUAUCUUGUGGCAUUCAUUUAGAGCUCAUGUAUCAUUUUAGUUUAAGAAAUACCUGUAAGUUCCAUUCUUUCCCAACUUAAACAUCAACUUAUUCUGAGGACUUAAAUCUUAGUUAUAGAUGUUUCAUUCAGCUCCUUCUGACUCUUGGAAUUCAUUAGCACAUUAGUGGUCUACAGUAACCACGGUUGUACAACAUGUCGGCCACAACUGUUUGGUUCCAUGCAGGCUUUAGUAACACCUGGUGAGCCACAGAAUGCAAAGGAGUCAAAAAUAUAAGGGCCACUUCCACUACCACAGCCUACUCUUGGGUCCUCCAUCACAAUAUUGUGUCCAUGGUCAGCAUAUGAGCUGAUGGCUUCAGGAUAUUGCCCUUAAGUUCUUGUAACUUGUUCUGAAUAAUCAUAUUAUGGUUGUCGCUUUGAUGGUGUACAUUUGCAGCACAGCCAAUAUCAUCACUGUCAUCAGGAACCAGUAUCAACAUCAACAGUAGGCACCCUGUUAGUAGCAAACCUUAUAUACAGCACACUUGGCACCUCAGACAAAGAAGAUCCUGUCAGCCAAUAGAAAGUAAAGUAUCAUAAGCGAAUUGUUAUUUAGUAUCAUGAACAUAUUUUUGUGUAAGAUAAUGCAUAGGCUGUUUGAUUAGAUUGGAAACUUCCUGAUUAAAUUGUUUCUGCAUCAUGGCAAAACUAGUUUAGGGUAAAGUGCAAACAAAGUAUAGUAUUCGAGCAUGUUAAUAGCUUUCUGCAUGUUUCACAG